rnacentral:snRNA from 1 species
AUAUAUAUGUAAAUGGCAUAUUUUAAAUAAAGAAUCUGUUCUUAUCAGCUUAAUAUCUGAUACGACGUCGACAUGACGUCAAGAUAUUAAACUAAUUUUUGCAGAUAGGCUUGUGGUUAGGAAUUUAUUCCGCCCUCGCCACGGGUUGGCCUGCUAUGGCACUACUUGCAGGAUACGGCCCACAAUAU